UACGGGGGGAGCAAGCGUUGUUCGGAUUUACUGGGCGUAAAGGGCGCGUAGGCGGUCAGCACAAGUCAGUUGUGAAAUCUCCGGGCUUAACCCGGAAAGGUCAACUGAUACUGUGCGACUAGAGUGCGGAAGGGGCAACUGGAAUUCUCGGUGUAGCGGUGAAAUGCGUAGAUAUCGAGAGGAACACCUGCGGCGAAGGCGGGUUGCUGGGCCGACACUGACGCUGAGGCGCGAAAGCCAGGGGAGCGAACGGG
rnacentral:rRNA from 1 species